rnacentral:lncRNA from 1 species
ACACAGUCUGUGGCCACAGAUGGAGCCAGACAUGGAUGGUGCUGUUGGAGGCAAUGAAAGGAAGGAAGAAGCUAUAGGGGGCAGGUUGUAGGACCUGUGGUUUUGAAGGUUAUACCAGCUCCCUGCUCCCCUCUGUCUGCUGUCUACGAGCCACUUUGCACUCCUACAUGCUUUCUGCUAGGACACCUUGCUGUCUCAUACACCGCCCAACAGCCAAGGGACCAGGACCAAAUCUCCCUAAGGAACCCAAAUCAACCUCUUUUCCUGGUAAAUAGCUCCCUUGGGCAUUUUGUUAUAGUCAAGGCAAACAGCUGCAGAGGAUGGGUCUCCACCCACCACUCAUAAAACAGCAGAGAGUAGACUGACCCAGAGACCUUCCACCCAGACAGCCUCCUGGAGACAACCAGCAGCUGAAGGCCUACUAUGUGCCACCAUAAAUCCCUGUGGAUACACAAAACCUGCAGUCCCCUAGUCUGUAUUACCUCCAUGGAGGGUGAUCCUGAGGGUCAAAGUGGGUGAGGCCACUCUGGACGUUGCUGGGGUUGCUUAUGAUUGUUGUGGAGACAAAACCAAGUAACCCAGGACCUCUGUGUCUUGGGAACCAGGAACAGCAGGAAAGGGUCCAUCAGUGAUGGAGGAGAGACUGAGGGUGAGAGACUUGAGUAGCAAAGGCUGUGCUGGCUUCUCCAGGUCGUGGAAGCAUUGGAUGAGUACUCUAGCACCCCCAGCCUGGUCCAUGCCUGCCCACUGACAACUAAAACACGGAGAAAUUUCCAGAGGAAAAAUGACCCUGAGCUCCGCCAGCAUCCAUCCCCCUGCACCGGUAAGCAGCAAGCCCUGCGCUCCCGUUGGAAUUCUCACCCUUUCCAUCAAGAAGGCCUUCCACCACCAGAAGAUUUCUUCUCAUGCCCUUUGGCUGUGUAGGUCGUGGACCCAUCCCUAAGUCCCUCUUACCAGGUAGGUGUCUGCUGUUGCUGUGAGUGGAGUGAGGGAGGGGCAGCCGUGUUUGUGAUCCCAAGAAUGUGGAUAUGGGCUGAGAGCCAAGUCUAGGUCCUGAGAUUUGCACUCUGAAUGUCUGCCCCACCCACCAGCUGGGACGUGGCUGUCCCUUAUAGGAUUAUGAUGACAUCUAACAUGAAACUGGGAAGGGGAUCUUGUGUCCUUGUGCAGGUCUUAGUGCAUGAGCUGUUUACACUACUAGCGCAGCCAUUGUGUGCAUCUGUGAAAUGGGUCCAUGGCUUCCACUCUGCCCAGCCCUAAGCAACAUGGAAGGAUUAGGAGUUCAGAAAUAAGUGCGGCUCCUUCUCUCAGGAGCCCUGGCUGCGUGUGCCUACCAUCUCCUACUUCUAGGGGGCAAAGAGAUCCUUUCACCUCUGCUUUACAGAUGGGAAACUGGGGCUCAGAAGUCUAGAAGGAUAGGUAUGUUCAGAGUCCAGAACUCUCCCUCUGCAGGGCCCUGGCUGGAGCUGCUCGGGUAGGAGAGCAGGGAGCCAUUCCUUAUCCCAGGACUGUCAUGUAGGUCCAAGCUGGUGGCUGGGAUGGCUUCUCUCUGCCUAGUUCUCCGUCUCUCCCAGAACUCCGGGGCUCAGGACUUGCCUGUGUUGUGGGGAGACUCUCCCCUAUCCCACCGGUCCUUCCUCUCCCCAGUCAGUGAAUGAACACAAGUCGGUGACAUCAGAUUCUUGGCAGCUUCUGCUCUUUGGGGAAAUAAUGCAUAAUGUAUACAUUUGACAGACAAUAAACAUAUGCUAAUGAGAAUAAUCUGCUGAUAUUUACAGACACAUUGCCGUAUGCAGAACCUGCUUCCCAUAGCCACACACCCCCACACUCAGCAGGCACUGUGAGCCUGGCACUCAGUGCGCUGGCCAGCCCUGCUGGGGCCCUGGUGCACCUGUGUUGCCCUGCCUAGCCUGCAGGUGUGCCCUGUAUUGUCCGUAGAAGUGGAGGGGGGAGGGAAGUUACAAGAGACCCUACAGUCAUCUUUUAGAUAGAGAAACUGAGAUUGAUUGAGUCAUCUAACCAAUCACUCACGGAUAGUCCCUGGGUGCCAGGCUCUGUCCUGAACACCCCCCCCCCCCAGGAGGCUGAGGGAUGUGGUAGGGUGGGUAAAAGAAGUAAGGCACCAGCAAGCCAGCCUGUUACUGACAGUGCGGGUGCCUAGCACCGGGACCUCCAGCAGCUAAGGGAUGGGGGAGGGGCUUUCUAAGCUGAUCUUUGCCUGCCAAUCCUCCAGAGCUUCACAUCCUGUGAGCAGAGGACUCUCAGGCACAAAGAACACUGGGACACAGCUAGAGCUCUCCUCUUCCAUACAGGGUCCAGCUACCAGGAGACCUGUGUGUGCGUGUGCGUGUGUGUGUGUGUGUGUGUGUAGUCUCCUCUUGCUGUUCCCAGAGUGUCUGGUUAUCCCUUGUGCCCCUUAAUCCUACACACACACACACACACACACACACACACACCCUCACUCAUCUCUCCUACUCCCUACCCCUAGCAACUUCUUUUGUCCUGAAGUGCUAUGUGUUAUUUUGCUACACAUGAAGAGCCCCAGACCAGACAAGGAAACACAUCUACUCAGAAAAGGAAUAUUUUUUUAAAAAUGCUUUUUCCAAACAUGAUGUGUCUCUGACAGGUUCAGAGAGGUCUCAUCAAAUAAAAGGUACUAGGCUUCCAUAAACCUGGGUGGAAAUGAGACCCUUGGCUUGUGCACAUGUAUGACAGGUGACAAUUAGCUGCCGGCUGCACUGUCAGCUGGAUGCAGACAUGUCACUAAGAAGUCACGAAGAUGCUCGUGUGGGAGUGGGUCUUGUCAGAUGGCCUUGGCUCCACUGAGAACAGAGGCUCCGGGUGGCAUUCUGUCCUCUGCUCUCUGCUGGGACGUGGCAGGCUUCACAGAUGACAUCGGGAUGUCAGAGCCCUGGGCUCUCCGUGCCCCACUGCCUCCGGGCAGUUCACAGAAGGCCCCUCACUCCAGAAACCCACCAUCUUCCCCAUGCUCCCAGCCCCAUGUGAGCCAGGGCUCGGUACCAACCCCAACUCUAGAGAACAUGGGUAUCCUGUUGUCCUAGCCCCAACUCUGUCCUGGUCCCACAGAGCCAUGCCCGCCCACACCAUGUUUCUCAGAGUAGGAAGUUAAGGCUCAAAAAGGGGCCACAGGACUGGUAAAGGACCAGAGAAAGCUCUGAACUAUGACCUGCCUGGCUCAGCACCAAAGUUCCCCUGCCCAGUCCCCUCCUGCAGGGAGUUCACCUGUGUUUUAGCUCUUCUCAUGAGGUCUUUGCAGGUUAAAAAAAGUUGGCUAUAAAGGCUCUUACAAUAGCUCCUGGCACUCAGUAAGUCCUUAGCUAUUCUGUUUAUUAAUUAUAACCAAUAUUAAUGAUAGCGUUAAUGCUAUUAAGCAAACGUAGUCCCUUCAGCCCAGAGCCUGUAGCUCUUCCUACAUUAAUCAUGUCUACAAAUCCUGAGCAGGACGGAUGAAAUGAAAACCUGCCUCAGGCAAAUGUGGAGCUGCAAAAACAGAGAAACUCUGUGCAGAGUCCAAGGAGACAGACCCGCUACUGAGGAAUGGCAGCCGGCUGUCUACAGGGACGUAGGGGGCAGAGAGCCAGGGAGCUAUGUGUUCUGUUCCAAAUGAAGUCAGGAGAGGAACACGGUAGAGCCAACUGAAUCACCAUACUGAGUUGUUUAAGGAAGAAAUUUGCGUUCCAGUGAAGAUGUGUUUGGAAGCUUGCAUGAGUUAGUUUUCCAGUACUGUAAUGAAACACGUGAGGUAGACAACCUAAAGGAGAAAGGUCAUGUGGACUCAAUUUCAGAAGUUUCAGCCUGUGAUUGAGUGGCCUUGUUGCCUUUGGGCUUUUUGGGGGGGAGGUGUUCUUGAGGGGAUGGAGUUUGUGGCAGAGGAGACAGCUGAGGAGAAAGACAGGGGAGGGAGUGGGAACCCAACCUCCUUCAAGGGCAUGGCCCCAGUUAACUAAUUUCAUUCUAACUGGAGGACUCAUUGUCUCAAGCUUCCAUCCUAUCAAAAGUGUCUGAGGGCCAGCACAUGACCACGGUGUGUGUGUGUGUGUGUGUGUGUGUUGUGGGGGGAGGGCAGCAGUAAGAUUAGUACCAUAACAUCCUCUUGUUUUUAAAAUCCAGAAGAAAGACACGCACCUCACAGGGGAGGAAGGAACUGGAGCAAUAAUGUGGAGCUGGGAGACAAGGACUCAAGGGCUAGCCUUGGGAAACAAGCCCCGCCAGCCUGAUCAUCACGGAAUUUAAACAGACAACAAAGUCGAGAUCCCACAAGACCAAGAUAGAAAGAAAGAUCACAGUUCACACAUUCUCCAGGCUGUGUGGCUCAGAGGAAGAGAGAGGCAUUUAUUCCCUAGGCUGGUGGUGGAGUGGGUGGAUGGCCGGUGGCUUUCCUGUGGAUCAAUGAAAGAAGAGGAUAGAAGUUGGAGUUCCCAAUCCAGCAGAGGGAGAGGAGGGAACAUUCUAUACACCAUGAAUGGAUGGUACAUACGUGUGCACGUGUACACACACACACACACACACACACUCACUCACUCACACCCACCCACUCACUCACGCACACACACUCACACACACACUCACACACACACAUACUCACACACACACACACACACACACACAUUCAUGCACACACAUGCAGGUGUACCUGUACACACAUAAAGGUGUGACACACACUCAUGCACACACGUACAGGUAUGCCUGUACACACAGGCACACAUACUCAUGCCCAUACACAAAUACACCUGCACAUAUGUAAUACACCACAGUACACACGUGCAUAUUCUUACAUGCACAGCACACCCACAUGCAUGAACACGCACACACACAUACACACCCACUAGAGCAGUUUAAAGGAACUAUCCCUGCAACUGAAAGCACUGUUGGUUUUUAACAAAAUCUCAAGUGGGCAAUUUUAUCAAUGAAGACUUGGGAACCAGGUGCUAGGGGUGAAAGCCUGCUAGUUCAGAGAAGCAGAGAAAGCACCGAGCUGACCCUCCUCCACAGCCGACAUCCCCAAAGGAAAGCUCUCCUACUCUAUGCCUUCUCAAAACCCCCUCAAGCUGAUUGUCCCUCCUUUCUACUUCCUGUGUCUCUCUCUCCAUCCUCCUGACUUCCUCUUACCCGCUAUGUCUUCCUAUGUCCACUCCCUGUCUGCUAACCUGCUCCACCUCUUGGCCUGUGGCUGACUUUAUUCAAUCCUGUUUACAGUAUUCGUGCAGAAAGCUCUUGAAUUAAAAGUGUGUGCUAGGGCUGAGUCACACAACAACUAGAAACAGGUUUUCUUCCAGGAAGUGUGAUCAAAUAUCUUGCAACGAAGCACAGGACGAGAAGACAGAAUCAAGCCUCUGUCUCCUCUGUGUGACUGUGAAGGAACAGCUUGCCAACGCCGCCACUCUGCCUCAGUUUCUCCAUCUAUGAACUGGGAUGGUGCAAGUUUGAUCCCAUGGCUUCAGGCUGCCCGAUGGAGAUGCUGUCAGGGGUGUUAACUGCAGUAAUCGCCAUCUGGGAGCCUGCUCCUGUCACUCUCACUAUGAUGGCCAUGGAAUCCUCAAUGUAGCCAGCCAUCACCAUGCUCAGCCUGCUAAGUCCAGAGCAGGACCCCCAAAUGAAACCUCAACUCGGCUUUCCUCAGGAAUCUCAUAGGUGGGUUUCUGUUUACCAGGAAAGCCACCACUUCCCUUAUCAACUGCCAGUGGUCAGCUACCUGGGACAAGGGCAUCUAGUUCUGGAUUAACCCAACUGACCUCCAACAUAACACAGUCACCAUGUCAGCCACCAGGCUGUUCUGGCCUGGCUGCCUCCUCCCACCAGCUGUUAAAACUUCAAAGCUUGGCUGCUGGCUGCUGUCCUCGACAGCAUGAAUCGGCCCAGCAUGUGGUUUCCCCAAUAAACUGUUCUUUCUGCCCAUAGAGUGGCCUAGUUCAGAGGUCUUACUGUCCCCAGCCACCUGAUCCUGUGGUGUCUCAUGGAGACUCCAGAGGCAGAUUCCAGCUAUCUCUCAGUCCCAAACGACACGGCAAACUGUCUCAUGUGGGCAUUAAUUAUACUUCCUGGAGGUUAAUUUGUAAAGAGAGAGCGGAAGUGUGUUAUUUAAACAGUGAUUAUUAAAAUCGUGCUGGGGGCUUCUGCAUAAUAGGUAAUUAUCUGCAGACAUAAUUGGGAGAACAAUACCGUCAGUCCUGUUUAGCCCUUCCCUCCCAUCCAGGCCUAAUCCUGCCGAGCGGCCGAUGUUGUUAAAUAAUGUUCUUAUUGAAUCCAAAAUGAGGCCUCAGGAGGUGCUUCUCGGUCCGUCUCCAAGCCCUUAGCCUGGAAUCUAGGCAGAGACACUUUUAUUUGUUUUAUUUUUUUGUGGGGGGCAGAUUGUUGCCCUUCAGCUGAUCUCCUCUGUCCUUUGGGGACACCCCUCAGCUCUGUGUCUGUAUAUCCAAGUGUCUUCCCAUUUUCCCCUGUGCAUUUUUUAAUCUGUACUUUCUCGCUUCUUCAGACAGCUUGUGCCUAUUCGGUGUGUUCUAGUUAGAGGUUCCAUUGCUAUGAGCAGACACCAUGACCAAGGCAACACUUAUAAAGGACAGCAGUUAACUGGGGCUGGCUUACAGGUUCAGAGGUUCAGUCCAUUAUCACUAUGGUGGGGAACAUGGCAGCUUCCAGGCAGAUAUAGUGCUGGAGGAGCUGAGAGUUUUACAUCUUGAUCUGAAGGCAGGUGGCAUUCUGCACUGGGUGGAGCUUGAACACUAGGAGACCUCAAAACCUGCCUACACAGUGACAUACUUCCUCCAAUAAGGCCAAAUCCCCUAAUUGCGCCAUUUCCCACUGGCCAAGCAUAUUCAAACCACCAUGCCAUGCAGCCAUUUUUCCUGGGUACCUGACUCUCAAUGCCUUCCCCUCCUCUGUCUUAGUUUACCUGUUCCACCGUCUCCUGCCCUGUCAUGUUCUCUUCUGCCCUCCCCAUGUGUGCGCCACUCGGGGCUCACUGGAGAUUCAGAUUCAUUCUUUCAGUCUGAAUGUCAUUCAUUCACCCACUGUCGCCUGGGCGCCAGUACCUGUUGUUUCCUUUACAUACUCACUCGCUGCUGUUGUUCGUUGGUUUAUGAGAUGUGUUUGUUACUUUUCUGACCAUAACCAAGGCAUCUAAGACCAAACUUUAUUUGGGCUUAUGGUUUGAGAGGGCUAAGAUCUCAUUAGGGUGGGGAGGCGUGACAGCAGGCACCGGUGGCAGGAAUAGAGUGCUGAGGGCUGGCAGCUUAACCACAAACAUGAGGCGGAGAGGACAAACUGGAAGAGGUGAAGGCUUCGAAUCUCCCUGUCCCCAGUGCAAACAGUGCUACCAACUAGAACCCAAGUGUUAGAAUUCCCUGCUUCUCAUUCACCAGUCACCACUUACUUCACACACAUAUGUGGAUGUGUUUAUCUGUCACUGUUGAUACACACUGUCCAGUAUGCCCAGAGACUUGCUCCUGGGUCACCUUGCUUGCCAGGACUUCACCUCACGCUCUUAGUGUAUCUCAGGCCCCUGAAUCAUCCCCUCCCCAGAGCAUCAGGCAGGUCUCGCUUCUUCGGGUCCUUCCAUGGGCCUCUCUUAGCCUUGGUUCUGUCUGUCUAUCCUGAAGACAUCACUUCAGGUUACUUCGGGAAUAACUUCUGGGCAUGGUUAAGCCUAGGCACCUGCCACUGUGGAUGUCUGCAGCCUGGUUCUUCUGGGGAAAGUUUGGGACCCAGAACACAACACUCAGAGGAACGGUGAGAGAAGGGUUAGGGAAACGGGUGUUUGCACCACAAUUCCUAGUGGCCACUAAUAGAAAGUCACUGUGUGUGUGUGUGUGUGUGUGUGUGUGUGUGUGUGUGUCUGUCUGUCUGUCUGUCUGUCUGUAUGUCUUAUGUGUGGUGUGUGUAUGUGUGUGUGUGUGUGUGUACUGGCUAGUCUUGUGUCAACUUGACACAGACUGGAGUUAUCACAGAGAAAGGAGCUUCAGUUGAGAAAAUGCCUUCAUGAGAUCCAGCUGUAAGGCAUUUUCUCAAUUAGUGAUCAAGGGGGAGGGCCCCUUGUGGGUGGGAUCAUCUCUGGGCUGGUAGUCUUGGAUUCUAUAAGAGAGCAGGCUGAGCAAGCCAGGGGAGGCAAGCCAGUAAGGAACAUCCCUCCAUGGCCUCUGCAUCAGCUCCUGCUUCCUGACCUGCGUGAGUUCCAGUUCUGACUUCCUUUGGUGAUGAACAGCAACAUGGAAGUGUAAGCUGAAUAAACCCUUUCC